CCAGACUCCUACGGGAGGCAGCAGUGAGGAAUAUUGGUCAAUGGCCGCAGGGCUGAACCAGCCAAGUCGCGUGAGGGAUGACGGUCCUAUGGAUUGUAAACCUCUUUUGUCAGGGAGCAAAGGGCGCCACGUGUGGCGUUUUGCGAGUACCUGAAGAAAAAGCAUCGGCUAACUCCGUGCCAGCAGCCGCGGUAAUACGGAGGAUGCGAGCGUUAUCCGGAUUUACUGGGUGUAAAGGGCGUGUAGGCGGGCCUGUAAGUCAGAAGUGAAAUCUGGGGGCUUAACCCCCAAACUGCUUUUGAAACUGCGGGUCUUGAGUGAUGGAGAGGCAGGCGGAAUUCCCAGUGUAGCGGUGAAAUGCGUAGAUAUUGGGAGGAACACCAGUGGCGAAGGCGGCCUGCUGGACAUUAACUGACGCUGAGGCGCGAAAGCGUGGGGAGCAAACAGGAUUAGAUACCCCCGUAG
rnacentral:rRNA from 1 species